GACGAACGCUGGCGGCGUGCUUAACACAUGCAAGUCGAACGGAAAGGCCCUGCUUUUGUGGGGUGCUCGAGUGGCGAACGGGUGAGUAACACGUGAGUAACCUGCCCUUGACUUUGGGAUAACUUCAGGAAACUGGGGCUAAUCUCGGAUAGGAGCUCCUGCUGCAUGGUGGGGGUUGGAAAGUUUCGGCGGUUGGGGAUGGACUCGCGGCUUAUCAGCUUGUUGGUGGGGUAGUGGCUUACCAAGGCUUUGACGGGUAGCCGGCCUGUGAGGGUGACCGGCCACAUUGGGACUGAGAUACGGCCCAGACUCCUACGGGAGGCAGCAGUGGGGAAUAUUGCACAAUGGGCGGAAGCCUGAUGCAGCAACGCCGCGUGCGGGAUGACGGCCUGCGGGUUGUAAACCGCUUUCGCCUGUGACGAAGCGUGAGUGACGGUAAUGGGUAAAGAAGCACCGGCUAACUACGUG
rnacentral:rRNA from 1 species